GAUGAACGCUGGCGGCGUGCCUAAUACAUGCAAGUCGAGCGAAUGGAUUAAGAGCUUGCUCUUAUGAAGUUAGCGGCGGACGGGUGAGUAACACGUGGGUAACCUGCCCAUAAGACUGGGAUAACUCCGGGAAACCGGGGCUAAUACCGGAUAACAUUUUGAACCGCAUGGUUCGAAAUUGAAAGGCGGCUUCGGCUGUCACUUAUGGAUGGACCCGCGUCGCAUUAGCUAGUUGGUGAGGUAACGGCUCACCAAGGCAACGAUGGGUAGCCGACCUGAGAGGGUGAUCGGCCACGCUGGGACGGAGACACGGCCCAGACUCCUACGGGAGGCAGCAGUAGGGAAUCUUCCGCAAUGGACGAAAGUCUGACGGAGCAACGCCGCGUGGGUGAUGAAGGCUUUCGGGUCGUAAAACUCUGUUGUUAGGGAAGAACAAGUGCUAGUUGAAUAAGCUGGCACCUUGACGGUACCUAACCAGAAAGCCACGGCUAACUACGUGCCAGCCGCCGCGGUAA
rnacentral:rRNA from 1 species